rnacentral:snRNA from 1 species
AUCCUUAUGCACGGGAAAUACGCAUAUCAGUGAGGAUCCGUCCGAGAUUGUGUUUUUGCUGGUUGAAAUUUAAUUUAAAACCAGACCGUCUCCUCAUAGUCGCCAGUAGGUGUUCGCUUUUUAGAACAUUCUCCAGACUAUGUAGGGAAUUUUUGGCCUCGCAUAUCGCAAAUACGCG